UCAGAUACCAUUGCUGGAUAUGCGUACCUGAUGUUAUACUGGUGUGCCCCGGCCUGCCCAAGACGCGUUCAGGCAAGAUCAUGCGAAGGAUCCUGAGGAAGGUGGCGGCGGGGCAGCCCGAGGAGAUGGGCGAUAUCUCCACCCUCGCCGACCCCUCCGUCGUCGAGGCCAUCGUCAGCGCCCACAAGGCUCUGAACACUCCUUGACACGUCAACCACCCCACGUUCCUUUAUCCGUAGCAAUCCCCUCUUUGUCCUUAACAAUCCACACUUUAUCACAUUCCUCUCUGUCUCUCUCUCUCUUCCCUCUCUUAUCAACGCGGCGUUAUCUCUUCUUGCACUUUAGUUUCCCCGUCGUUUACAAGCAGACGUUCACCGACGAUAAGCAAUCACUCGUUCCCGACGCUUCUUAUCGUGCUAUCGCCGAUCUGUCUGAAGAGGAAGUUUGCAGAGAGAGAGAGAGAGAGAGAGAGAGAGAGAGAGAGAGAGAGAGAGAGAGAGAGAGAGAGAGAGAGAGAGAAUAAAGGAAGAAAGAGAAAGAGAGGGAAAAAGAGAGAGAGGAACGUCUGUGCUUCUCUGCCCCCGCCGCCUCGGUGCUUCUCGGACCCCAAGUGGUAAAAGGUUUCUGCACUUGUUAGGUGAAUUUAUUUGUUAUUUGUAUAGUUUAAAUAGAUUUACAGAAACUGUUGUUGUCAUUUUUUGGAAUAUUUUCAUUUUACCCCCUAAUUGAUGGAGAAGAUGUUACAUAUUCAAACAAUCACAAUUAAUUGCUUUACAUAA